GUCCAAGUUUUUAGUUACUCUUCUCACUGUAAAAUAGAACUUAUUUGUGAAGGUCUAUCUGGAUGGACUACCCUUCGGAAGGACAUUUAAUUUAUUAACUCAAGAUGAUUAUCAAAGUUUGAAAGAAACAAUUGAACGACUGUUCAACGUCAAAAUUAUUCAUGUUGCAUCAAAUAUACUCACCUAUGAAGAUAGAGAGGGAGAUUGGAACGUGGUUGGAGAUGUCCCGUGGGAGAAUUUUUUAACUACUGUCAAAAAGUUGAAGAUCACAAGAGCUGAUUGAUAGUCUCUCAUCAUUAAUCUCUAAUUGUGUUGGGUUAGCAAUGAAGACUUUUAAAGAGAGGAUUGGUAGAGGUCAGAGGAUAAAUGUGGAUGAUGACACCGUCUUAAUUAGCCCUUGUUUGUAUUAUUUGAAGGAAAAAUGUUGUGAUGAUGUUUAU